AUUGAACGCUGGCGGCAGGCCUAACACAUGCAAGUCGAACGGUAACAGGAAGCAGCUUGCUGCUUUGCUGACGAGUGGCGGACGGGUGAGUCAUGUCUGGGAAACUGCCUGAUGGAGGGGGAUAACUACUGGAAACGGUAGCUAAUACCGCAUAACGUCGCAAGACCAAAGAGGGGGACCUUAGGGCCUCUUGCCAUCGGAUGUGCCCGGAUGGGAUUAGCUAGUAGGUGGGGUAACGGCUCACCUAGGCGACGAUCCCUAGCUGGUCUGAGAGGAUGACCAGCCACACUGGAACUGAGACACGGUCCAGACUCCUACGGGAGGCAGCAGUGGGGAAUAUUGCACAAUGGGCGCAAGCCUGAUGCAGCCAUGCCGCGUGUAUGAAGAAGGCCUUCGGGUUGUAAAGUACUUUCAGCGGGGAGGAAGGGAGUAAAGUUAAUACCUUUGCUCAUUGACGUUACCCGCAGAAGAAGCACCGGCUAACUACGUG
rnacentral:rRNA from 1 species